rnacentral:rRNA from 1 species
UAGCCGGUUUGGUCAGUCCUCCGGGAAAUCUGACAGCUCAACUGUUAGGCUUUCGGGGGAUACUGCCAGACUUGGAACCGGGAGAGGUAAGAGGUACUACAGGGGUAGGAGUGAAAUCUUGUAAUCCCUGUGGGACCACCUGUGGCGAAGGUGUCUUACCAGAACGGGUUCGACGGUGAGGGACGAAAGCUGGGGGCACGAACCGGAUUAGAUACCCGGGUAGUCCCAGCCGUAAACGAUGCUCGCUAGGUGUCAGGCAUGGCGCGACCGUGUCUGGUGCCGCAGGGAAGCCGUGAAGCGAGCCACCUGGGAAGUACGGCCGCAAGGCUGAAACUUAAAGGAAUUGGCGGGGGAGCACAACAACGGGUGGAGCCUGCGGUUUAAUUGGACUCAACGCCGGACAACUCACCGGGGGCGACAGUAAUAUGUAGGCCAAGCUGAAGACUUUGCCUGAAUCGCUGAGAGGAGGUGCAUGGCCGUCGCCAGUUCGUACUGUGAAGCAUCCUGUUAAGUCAGGCAACGAGCGAGACCCGUGCCCACUGUUACCAGCAUGUCCUUCGGGAUGAUGGGUACUCUGUGGGGACCGCCGGUGUCAAAUCGGAGGAAGGUGCGGGCCACGGU